AGCAAACAGGAUUAGAUACCCUGGUAGUCCACGCUGUAAACGAUGUCGAUUUGGAGGUUGUUCCCUUGAGGAGUGGCUUCCGGAGCUAACGCGUUAAAUCGACCGCCUGGGGAGUACGGCCGCAAGGUUAAAACUCAAAUGAAUUGACGGGGGCCCGCACAAGCGGUGGAGCAUGUGGUUUAAUUCGAUGCAACGCGAAGAACCUUACCUACUCUUGACAUCCAGAGAAUUUAGCAGAGAUGCUUUAGUGCCUUCGGGAACUCUGAGACAGGUGCUGCAUGGCUGUCGUCAGCUCGUGUUGUGAAAUGUUGGGUUAAGUCCCGCAACGAGCGCAACCCUUAUCCUUUGUUGCCAGCACAUUAUGGUGGGAACUCAAAGGAGACUGCCGGUGAUAAACCGGAGGAAGGUGGGGAUGACGUCAAGUCAUCAUGGCCCUUACGAGUAGGGCUACACACGUGCUACAAUGGCGUAUACAAAGAGAAGCGACCUCGCGAGAGCAAGCGGAACUCAUAAAGUACGUCGUAGUCCGGAUUGGAGUCUGCAACUCGACUCCAUGAAGUCGGAAUCGCUAGUAAUCGUAGAUCAGAAUGCUACGGUGAAUACGUUCCCGGGCCUUGUACACACCGCCCGUCACACCAUGGGAGUGGGUUGCAAAAGAAGUAGGUAGCUUAACCUUCGGGAGGGCGCUUACCACUUUGUGAUUCAUGACUGGGGUGAAGUCGUAACAAGGUAACCA
rnacentral:rRNA from 1 species